rnacentral:tRNA from 1 species
GCCUUGGCUUAGGGGUAUAGCGGCUGACUUGUAAUCAGCAGGCCGGGGGUUCAAAUCCCUCAGGC